rnacentral:lncRNA from 1 species
UUUUGCAGAAAAAUGUCUUUUUGAUUUUUUAGAAAUUCUUUAGAUUAAUAUGCAGCUGUCAUUGCAAGGCAAAUCUAGAUCUGCUUUCAUGUUUCUUCUUUCCUCAGGCUGCUAGUGUCUACCUCUUCGGGAGAGAUGGUCCACUCUUGCCCUACUGGGGAUUCCUAUCCCAGGAAUCCAAUGAGUCUUUCCAGUUCACUUGAGGAAUUAACAUAAGAUCUUCGAACCAUCAGAAAAUAUGAUGACAUAAUCAAUAAAGCUUUUGAAGAGAAA